rnacentral:rRNA from 1 species
AUUGAACGCUGGCGGAAUGCUUUACACAUGCAAGUCGAACGGCAGCACGGGAGCUUGCUCCUGGUGGCGAGUGGCGAACGGGUGAGUAACAUAUCGGAACGUACCCAGUAAUGGGGGAUAACACAUCGAAAGAUGUGCUAAUACCGCAUACGCCCUGAGGGGGAAAGCGGGGGAUCGCAAGACCUCGCGUUAUUGGAGCGGCCGAUAUCGGAUUAGCUAGUUGGUGGGGUAGAGGCUCACCAAGGCGACGAUCCGUAGCUGGUCUGAGAGGACGACCAGCCACACUGGAACUGAGACACGGUCCAGACUCCUACGGGAGGCAGCAGUGGGGAAUUUUGGACAAUGGGGGCAACCCUGAUCCAGCCAUUCCGCGUGAGUGAAGAAGGCCUUCGGGUUGUAAAGCUCUUUCGGCAGGAACGAAACGGUGGAGGCUAAUAUCCUUCAUCAAUGACGGUACCUGAAGAAGAAGCACCGGCUAACUACGUGCCAGCCGCCGCGGUAAAAC